UGCAUAUCAGUGGUGGUGAAAAAAAAAUGUCUGAACAUAUGAAUUCAGUAUUGAUUUUAGCAUUUAACUGAGAUAAGCU